AGCACAGCAUGUAUCCACAGAGGGAGGUAGCAAAAUGUUAAACUUUGCUGAACUAUUUUGAUCAAGAAGCUGAUGUCAGACUUUAUUGAAUGUUUUAAUCCUUGGAAGCUAUGUCAAACAGAUGAUAUGGAAGUUUCCUCUUAACCUUUCAGUUUCCUCAUAUAUCAUUUCUGGGGACAAAAGAAUUCCCCCUUUCUCACUUCUGAGUGAGUGAAAGGCAAGGCUUAAAG
rnacentral:lncRNA from 1 species